CUGAUCAGUGUUUGGGGAGAGGGGGCUGUGCAGGGACCCAGGAUGCCCCGUGAUCACCCUCCCCCCCUUCCCACAAGACCUAUCGUCAAAAUGGAGAGAGCUGCACUGUGGGAUUGUUGCUCUCAGUGCACUGCUGUCAUCGGGGAUGGAAGUGUUGCAAAUGUAAACACUCUGAUGCCUGAGGAAGCAGCGUAGCCGCACGCUGGGAAUGUCACAGACAAAUCACUGCAGCCCGGGUAAUCCAGGUGAAUCUUACCUAGCUCCACGCACACAAGGCCAGCCAGCAGGACAGCCAGAAGCGCCUUCAUCCUGAGCAGACCCUCAGCCUGGGCGGCCAAGAAGACCAAGAGCUGCUUGUUCUACUCUUCCCCUCUGCAGGCAACUGGGAGUCCCUGAGGAAUAAUGGCCUUGGACGAAACCGUCUUUAGAAGCUCUGGGCGGCAGAGAGUGAAGUGGCACCAGGGAAGUGAAGCAAGUCCGACAGCAUGGACGGUCCUGCAGUCAGACUGCUAGGCUGGGACGUGGGCGACCUGCACUCUGCCACAGACUUCCUGUGUGACCUUGGGUGGGUCACUUAGCCUCUCUGUGUCUCAGUUCCCCCUCUGUACAUUGGGGGGGGGGCACUGCUGCUCCUUGCCCCCUCCCCCUGUCGGAAUGGGAGCUCUUUGAGGCCGGGCUGCCAGCCACUCUGUGUUUGUACCACCCUGAGCAAUGGCAGGUGCUCCUGGAAUGCAAGUUACGAUGUUCUUUGCUCUCUCUUUCCCUGUUUGCUGUACAUUGGCCUCCAUUAAUCCAAUCCUAGCAGUGACAGGUUGGCAACUCCUCUUCCCCUCAGCAGCCUCCAGGCCUGGAAGAGUUUCUUUGCCCGUUCUGCCCUUCUCCAGGCCCCACUGCUCUCAGACUCGGCCAGCCUUCCACUCCAGGGCUGUCUAGGUCCUGAUAUGGCCCCUCCCCUCCGCACCCCCCACAGGCUACAGAGCAGGAACUGAGGCAUGGCCAACAAAGGGACUCACCUGAGCAUUAAGCUCAAAUCACCUGAUUCCCAAUCCUGGGCCUUGACCACCGGCCCAUCAGGAAACUAACCUCUUCCCGCCUCCGCCCUUGCCUGGUGCAAGCCCUCGUGUGGUAGGGCACAGCUGGUCACCCUGCUCUGAGCAAGCCUAGGUAAUAAUCAUAGAGGUCACGGUGAUGAGGAAAGAACAGGGACAGUCCACACUAGCUUUCCGACCGCUGCUACCGGAGCUGCAUCAAUGCAACAGCCAGAGGAUGGAUCUGCUUGGGAUCCAUCUGGGGAGAGUCUUCUGGGAUUUGCUAAGCUGCAGGGGAUGUGCUGGGAUCCUGGCCUGUUUACCCAGAAGCGGAAUUGUGGAGGAGCUGCACCGUGGCCCAGAAUCUUCCUGGCUAUUCGAAGUCCAAGGGAACACGAGAGUUUUUAAAGACGACACUAUUGAUAGUGAUUAUAAUGAUAGGAAACGGUUGUGGAAUGGAUCGAUGGGGGUCACGGCAGCCAACAGUUUAGGAGCUACUAGCCUCGGGCUCCAGCCUCGUACGUAAUCAGUCUGUCGCACAGUGAGUCUAUUGUAUUUUUAAUAACAAGGAAAGAAGCAUUAAAGAUCUGCUCUCCUGGGCUUGGUUGUAGUGACCGGGAGCAAAGCUGAGGUUGCCAUGGGAGGCAGAGUUUCAGAACAUCUUGGCAGGUUGUGUUGGGACUUGGUGUUCUCCACCCUCCCUUCCUGCUCAGCGAAGACAUUUUCACAUGAGCGAGCAAAAGCUGGGUGUGAGGGACGCACGGCUCAGCUGGGUGGGAGGCCUUCGUCAUCGCCUGCCCGCUGGCUAAUGGACCAGAUAACAGGGCGUGCCAGCUUUAUUUAGAACUGGGGUGUCGUCCUGGGACACGGCUGCACCCAGCUGUUCUCUCAGAGGACAAGACAACAGCUGCUUUGUCGUGUGUGCAUGGGUUCUCCACUCAUCCCCCGUCACUGAACUGGACCCGAGGCGAACCAGCACCAAAGAAGCUUGACCAACAAUCCUUCUAAGCCACCUUCAGUCGGUUUCCACUCUGGGCUCCCCAAUUCCACCCCCUCCGACUGCCAGAGAUGGGCUGCCUCCCUGCCGCUUGUUUUGCUACCAUCCAGCUCCCUCCUGCCACCCUAUUCUGGACCUUCAUCCCAUGCCCUGACGGCCUGCUAGGCGUCCACGCAAAGCAUUAGUCACUGGCUCUCCCACUCUUAAUGGUGAUUAUUGGGGUGCCUUUGACUCUUUGCUGGGCCCAGGUGCCUGCACCGUUAGGGCCGGAUUCUCAGCUGGAAAUAAAUGUUGCUCCCUUUACUUUAGCAGACCCAUGCGGAUUCACCCCGCCGAGGAUCAGGCCCUUACUUUCUGUGUGCUCAAUGGAGCUGCACCGAGCCAGAAAGGCAUGACUUUAGGUGAGAUGAGUCUGGUGGGUCUCUCCCCUUGGUACCUGUUGGACGUUUCUCCAUAUUAGUUUCUUCAGCCCAAUAGCUUCAUCUGGGGAGAUCAUAGAAUCAUAGACUUCAAGGUCAGAAGGGACCAUUAUGAUCAUCUAGUCUGACCUCCUGCACAACGCAGGCCACAGAAUCUCACCCACCCACUCCUGUA